AUUGAACGCUGGCGGCAUGCUUUACACAUGCAAGUCGAACGGCAGCGCGGGCUUCGGCCUGGCGGCGAGUGGCGAACGGGUGAGUAAUACAUCGGAACGUGCCCAGUAGUGGGGGAUAGCUCGGCGAAAGCCGGAUUAAUACCGCAUACGACCUGAGGGUGAAAGCGGGGGAUCUUCGGACCUCGCGCUCUUGGAGCGGCCGAUGGCAGAUUAGCUAGUUGGUGGGGUAAAGGCCUACCAAGGCGACGAUCUGUAGCUGGUCUGAGAGGACGACCAGCCACACUGGGACUGAGACACGGCCCAGACUCCUACGGGAGGCAGCAGUGGGGAAUUUUGGACAAUGGGCGAAAGCCUGAUCCAGCAAUGCCGCGUGUGUGAUGAAGGCCUUCGGGUUGUAAAGCACUUUUGGCGGGAACGAAAAGGACUGUGCCAAUACCACGGUUCGAUGACGGUACCCGAAGAAUAAGCACCGGCUAACUACGUG
rnacentral:rRNA from 1 species